GUGCCAGACUCCUACGGGAGGCAGCAGUGGGGGAUAUUGCACAAUGGGGGAAACCCUAAUGCAGCGAUGCCGCGUGAAUGAAGACGGCCUUCGGGUUGUAAAGUUCUGUCGCAGGGGACGAAAAUGACGGUACCCUGCAAGAAAGCCCCGGCUAACUACGUGCCAGCAGCCGCGGUAAUACGUAGGGGGCAAGCGUUAUCCGGAUUUACUGGGUGUAAAGGGAGCGUAGACGGCAGCGCAAGUCUGAAGUGAAAUCCCAUGGCUUAACCAUGGAACUGCUUUGGAAACUGUGCAGCUGGAGUGCAGGAGAGGUAAGCGGAAUUCCUAGUGUAGCGGUGAAAUGCGUAGAUAUCAGGAGGAACACCAGUGGCGAAGGCGGCUUACUGGACUGUAACUGACGUUGAGGCUCGAAAGCGUGGGGAGCAGACAGGAUUAGAUACCCUUGUA
rnacentral:rRNA from 1 species